GUCGUGCGAUACGAUUGUUUUGAAAAGUUUUUGUUUAAUUUAGUUAUUUAUAUUUAAUUUAUAA
rnacentral:tRNA from 1 species